rnacentral:tRNA from 1 species
AUCUAAUGGAUAGGACAAAGGUCUUUUAAACCUUCGGCAUAGGUUCAAAUCCUAU